AGAGUUUGAUCCUGGCUCAGAUUGAACGCUGGCGGCAUGCCUAACACAUGCAAGUCGAACGGAAACGAUGCUAGCUUGCUAGCAGGCGUCGAGUGGCGGACGGGUGAGUAAUGUAUAGGGAUCUGCCUAGUAGUGGGGGACAACAUGUGGAAACGCAUGCUAAUACCGCAUACGCUCUACGGAGGAAAGUGGGGGACCUUUCGGGGCCUCAUGCUACUAGAUGAACCUAUAUUGGAUUAGCUUGUUGGUAAGGUAAUGGCUUACCAAGGCGACGAUCCAUAGCUGGUUUGAGAGAAUGAUCAGCCACACUGGGACUGAGACACGGCCCAGACUCCUACGGGAGGCAGCAGUGGGGAAUAUUGCACAAUGGAGGAAACUCUGAUGCAGCAAUGCCGCGUGUGUGAAGAAGGCCUUAGGGUUGUAAAGCACUUUCAGACGUGAGGAAAAGUAAUAAUUUAAUAAAUUAUUGCCUUGACGUUAACGUCAGAAGAAGGACCGGCCAACUCCGUGCCAGCAGCCGCGGUAAUACGGAGGGUCCAAGCGUUAAUCGGAAUUACUGGGCGUAAAGCACGCGUAGGCGGAUAUUUAAGUCAGAUGUGAAAUCCCUGGGCUCAACCUAGGAACUGCAUUUGAUACUGGAUAUCUAGAGUAUGGUAGAGGUGAGUGGAAUUUCAGGUGUAGCGGUGAAAUGCGUAGAGAUCUGAAGGAACAUCAGUGGCGAAGGCGACUCACUGGGCCAUUACUGACGCUGAGGUGCGAAAGCGUGGGUAGCAAACAGGAUUAGAUACCCUGGUAGUCCACGCCCUAAACGAUGUCAACUAGGUGUAUGGGAGUUUAACUCCUGUGUAUCGAAGCUAACGCGAUAAGUUGACCGCCUGGGGAGUACGGUCGCAAGACUAAAACUCAAAUGAAUUGACGGGGGCCCGCACAAGCGGUGGAGCAUGUGGUUUAAUUCGAUGCAACGCGAAGAACCUUACCUGGUCUUGACAUG
rnacentral:rRNA from 1 species